rnacentral:rRNA from 1 species
UACAGAGGGGGCAAGCGUUGUUCGGAAUUACUGGGCGUAAAGGGCGCGUAGGCGGCCCGCUAAGUCGAACGUGAAAUCCCCGGGCUCAACCCGGGAACUGCGUCCGAUACUGGUGGGCUUGAAUCCGGGAGAGGGAUGCGGAAUUCCAGGUGUAGCGGUGAAAUGCGUAGAUAUCUGGAGGAACACCGGUGGCGAAGGCGGCAUCCUGGACCAACACUGACGCUGAGGAGCGAAAGCCAGGGGAGCAAACGGG